rnacentral:rRNA from 1 species
CUUUUCUCGACCGUAGGGAGGUCGAGGAACAAGUGCUGGGCAAGACCGGUGCCAGCCGCCGCGGUAAUACCGGCAGCACAAGUGAUGACCGCUGUUAUUGGGCCUAAAGCGUCCGUAGC